GUCGCUUUAAAGCCUGAAAGGGGCAGCCGAACCCUAAGACAAUUCGCAUUCCGCGUCCAUGGCGACCAAGAAGCGGAAGGUCGACCAAGAGGACGAUCUCCUCCCCGCCGCCCCAAACCAUGCCGAUAAUCCCCUCCCCCAACUCCACCAGCAGCCCGUCGUCUACACCCAGGCGCCGGCCUCUGACGACGAGGACGGCGGCAGAGGCAGCGAAAGCGACCAGGAUGACGAUGACGACGACGUGGGGAAUCUCCUGGAGCCGAUCUCCAGGGACCGUCUCGUCGGCCUCCUCCGCUUCGCUGCAGCCUCCGACCCUGCAGCCCUCGCCGAGAUCCGCCGCGUCGCCGACCUCGACCCGGUCCACCGCAAGCUCUUUGUUCACGGCCUCGGCUGGGACACCACCGCUGAGGGCCUCCGCGCCGCCUUCGUCCGCUACGGCGACAUCGACGAUUGCCGCGUGAUCGUCGACAAGGCCAGCGGCCGAUCCAAGGGCUACGGCUUCGUUCUCUUCCGCCACCGAAGCUCCGCCCGCCGCGCUCUCCGCCGUCCCCAGAAGCUCAUCGACAACCGCAUGACCUCCUGCCAGCUCGCCUCCGCCGGCCCCUCCGCUUCCCUCCACCACCACAAUUCCGCGUCGCAACACCACCAAAACCCUAAUCCCAACCCUGGCCCUGGUCCCGCAUCGCAUCAGGACAACAUCUCGAGGAAGAUCUACGUGGGGAACGUCCAUUCCGACAUUGAUGGUGGCCGCCUCCUCGCCUUCUUCUCCCAGUACGGUGAGAUCGAGGAGGGCCCCAUCGGCUUUGAUCGACACACCGGGAAGCCAAAAGGGUAUGCCCUUUUUGUCUAUAAGACGGUGGAGGGCGCCCUGAGAGCCCUCGAGGAGCCGAGCAAGAAUUUUGAAGGCCACCUGCUCCACUGUCAGAAGGCCACUGAUAAUAAGAGUAAGGGUGCACUGGUUCAGAACACAGCAGCUUCUCCCAAUGUGGUGCCGAGCACAGGAACUCUCAAUGGGCCUGGUUAUGCAUUGCCACCAUCAGAUAUCGGGUUAGCACAACAAGCUGCGAUGUUGGGACAGGGGCUUCUUGGCCUGGGGGGAGGACAAGCCUUUGGACAGGGAAUGCAGCCAAAUGUUGCGUUGCUAACACUAUUAGCGACAGCUGGGCAGAAUCCAGCAGCUUUUGGAGUUACGCCGGCCAUGCUUGCUUCACUGAAUCCUGCUUUUGCUGCUGCAUUUGGUGCAACGGGGAGCCAGCAAGCUGUACCUCCUUCAGCCGUACCCCAGACAGCACAGAUGGCCAGCUAUGGAAUGGGAAGUGCUGGAUAUCAGGUGGCUUCAGGGUUUCAGGGGCAUACGGGUUUUCAAGGGUCGCCAGGGUUUCAAGGUCCUCCAGGUCUUCAGGGCGCUCAUCCAACUGCUCAACAAGGAGGAGCAGGAGGUGUUAGCUCUUACCCUACAGCGCCAGGUUCAAUGUCAAGGCCACCAACUGGACCAAUGGGUGGAUACGGUCCACUUUAGGUCGUUGAUUGAGGUUUGGUACAGCAUUGCCUUCUAGUUUCUUGCUGGCGUUUACAUUUUCAAAAAUCAAUAGGUUCGAGAAUGGGACGUGUCCUCAUUUGAUCUUUGACCAUGUACAAUGAUGAGGCUGUUGUGGAUGCGCAACAUGCUUUUCCUACAUCCUUAAGCUGUAAGGGGCUCGCUUUUAGUUCAUGAACAAAAAGUGAACAUAUCUUCAGAUGAAACGUCAGAACAUGUUCUUCAAAUGAAGAUAGAUUAGAAGGAUCAAAAGAAAAAUUCAGAAAUCAAAUCUCAAGGGAGAGAUCAAAAUGGUAGAGGCUAUGGACGAUCUGACGCUCGAGGAAGGGGACGAGGUCAAUCAAAUGAGAGUUAGAGGAACUCCAAUGAAGGGUUAGAAUUUGUUGAAUUCAAACGGUCCAUUUGAUCGUUUGAACCAGAUUUAAGGGUUUUUAAACCCUUUCUACCGCCUCAAUUCAUCCGUUGGAAAGAAUUGAGUUGGGCGACGAGACAACUUCUCAAUCGCAUUCAGCAACCUGCUUAGUCCAUAGAUGUGGCAGCGACGUGGACAACAGUGCCUCAACCGAUGACGGUGGCAACGUUAGAGAGUCAAUCCCCUACUCGAGGAAUCCUAUCAUUUUUUUUGGUGGUAGAACCAGAUAAUUCAAUAUCAACAGAAGGAUGGUCUGAAAUCUGUCACAAAGCUACUCCUCAAAGCUCAAAAAAGAUAUGUACCACUAUUUUUUCACAAUUUAGAAUAUUUUUUAUGAAAUUAUACUAAAUUUAUAUUUAUUUCCAACUUAAAAACCCUAAUCUAAUUUUUUUUAUUUUCAGAUAAUUUUAGAGCAAUUUUUGGUCUUUUUUUUGUGCCGUCGGCAUGCCCUGUCAUGGUGACACUUGGCACAUCGGCAUGGGGUGGCACUUACCGUGUUGUCGAUUGGCUGUCACAUCGGUUUGGACCACAGGUAACCCCUGGUGCAAGCCUCCUUAUCAAGCGAUCCAUGAGGCAAGCACUCCAUUGAUGACAGUUGUUUCCACAAUAUAAGCCGCCACCUGAUCUAUGUUACCACCAAUCCUUGAGCUGAAACCUCUUGCUUAAAGUCUUUUACAGAGAACUUGGCAUGUAAAAAAAGUUGUCCACUUGGGGAAUCAUUGCUUUGCAGCAGCUCAUUGUGUUUGAUCAACCAGGACACAAUAUAUCACCAUAUGAAGCCCAGCUGUCCAAAUGUCUUCCCCAACCUGAGCUGCAGCAAGUCUUAAAAGGAUCUGAAAAAUUGAACUGUCAUAUUUUAGGAGUCGAAGACAGAAGAAGCUACUGCAACUCAACUGACACGAAAAAAACUACAUUAGCCGUGCAAACCCAGGGAGCCUGGCUUACAGUUAGAUCUUGUGAGCACGACAUUUUGGUAAAGCAGUAAUAUGGAUCAUCUGUAGAACAACACUCCAGUUGGAUUUUUGUUAGAACUCAUUUCUGAUGCCAGGACAGCAUACGUAAAA